rnacentral:rRNA from 1 species
AGAGUUUGAUCAUGGCUCAGAUUGAACGCUGGCGGCAGGCCUAACACAUGCAAGUCGAGCGCGAAAGUCUUCGGAUGAGUAAAGCGGCGAACGGGGUGAGUAAUGCAUGGGAAUCUGCCUGGUAGUGGGGGACAACGUCUCGAAAGGGACGCUAAUACCGCAUACGCCCUACGGGGGAAAGGGGGGGAUCUUCGGACCUCUCGCUAUCAGAUGAGCCCAUGUCAGAUUAGCUAGUUGGUGAGGUAAAGGCUCACCAAGGCGACGAUCUGUAACUGGUCUGAGAGGAUGAUCAGUCACACUGGAACUGAGACACGGUCCAGACUCCUACGGGAGGCAGCAGUGGGGAAUAUUGGACAAUGGGGGCAACCCUGAUCCAGCCAUGCCGCGUGUGUGAAGAAGGCCCUAGGGUUGUAAAGCACUUUCAGUGGGGAGAAAGGUUAGUCACCUAAUACGUGAGUAGAUUGAUGUUACCCACAGAAGAAGCACCGGCUAACUCCGUG